rnacentral:tRNA from 1 species
GUCAAUGUGGUAUAGUGGUUUGAGCAUUGGACUAGGACUUUGGAGACCAGGGUUUGAAUCCCAGUUUGGCCA